rnacentral:rRNA from 1 species
UACGAAGGGGGCUAGCGUUGCUCGGAAUCACUGGGCGUAAAGGGUGCGUAGGCGGGUCUUUUAAGUCAGGGGUGAAAUCCUGGAGCUCAACUCCAGAACUGCCUUUUGAUACUGAAGAUCUUGAGUUUCGGGAGAGGUGAGUGGAACUGCGAGUGUAGAGGUGAAAUUCGUAGAUAUUCGCAAGAACACCAGUGGCGAAGGCGGCU